rnacentral:ncRNA from 2 species
AUCUUAUUCAGAGUUGGCGGAGAUACAAGGAUCUGUGAUGCCACGGCAACCCCUAUAUGGAAGGUGCCCACCUGAGCGAGCAAUCGAUCAAUAAGAU